AACUUCAAUCAAUAUAGUCAUCUAUCAAUACUUGCAAAUUGCAAGGGAACUUCAUCUCACAAAACUAAUCUUAAUUAUUUUUCCUUCAAAGCAAAUUUCUUGAGUGUACGUAUGCUAAAGAAUGUGCUUUCCCAAACAAGAUUGCCUUGGUCUAAAGGUUCUGGUCAGACAUCAUUAACAACAGAGCCCCUAUGUGAUAACCUUGCUAUUGACCAAAACAUUGGAGUGUCUGAAAUUUUACUUCAGUAAUUCUUAAAUAUCAGCUUUCCUCUAUUCUCAUUGCUACGUCAAUAUGCUUUUAGCUCUAGAGGAAAUUAAAUAUAUAAUUAACAUAAGAGUACUUUAGUAUUUUUUCCCCACAAAAUUAGACCAUUGCUGGAAUUAAAACAUCAUGCCCAAAAGAAGUGUUUAAAAAGUCUGAUUAGAAAAUGUGGAAAGAAAAUGUUAUAAUUACUGAGCAAUGGGGCGUCUCAGGGCUCGGGGAGCUCCGCACUGCAGUACUUGGCAAAAAUAAUAGAUGUCUUCAAAAUUUGCUGCAAACACACUGUUGACAUGACUGCCUAUUCCAAUAGCACAUGUGAAAAUGGAUUUUCCUGUGGAAUAUCAAACUCUAAUCUGGUCUGAUUAGCACUAAGCCUCAUUCUUUUGUCACUUGCUGUAUUUUUGAUUUCAAACUAUUGCAGUGCCAUUACUGCUGUAGCACUGAAUGUGUGGUGGGGUUACAUGAAGGGAACUCUAAAUAAAGGGUGUCAGCUGGUGUUCACCUUUACAGAACCCGCUUCCCAAUGGGAGGAAAUUUCUGUACUCAGGACAGUAAAGCUCUGAUAUACUGUCAAUUGUAGUUCUGAUUCUGCUGAAAUCCACCUAAUUUCCAUGUUGCGUCUGCAGGCACAACCUCUUCUUUCCCCAGCAUCUUGCCAAAUUUAUCGCUGUGAUUUUUAGGUCAAAUGUAUUCUCCUUGACCUCAGCAUCCGGUGUGUGAAAAUAAUUAGCAAAAUCGAUGUAAUGUUAAGAAAACAUUUAAAUCUCAAAUGAAAAAGUAGUUUCUGCUGAUGUCUUACAAACACUCUGGCUCGGUUUUCAGCAGUGUUCCAUCAUGAUGAACAAAAUGGUCAUGGUUGGAGACUUGUUCUUCCCACACUGCGCGUUUUGUGAAGGAGCAAUCUCCUCACUUAAGAGAAAAUAUCUUCCAAAGUAUCUUUGGAAGUGUGGGAAUGCACAUUUUCACUUAGAUGCAAUAAAGUUGCACUACAGACAGUUAGUAAGGCACUGUUUACCAUGUGGUUCAUGAAUAAUCUUAAUUUUUUUUUCUACAGAAUUUUGCAGAUAAUUCAUCCCUCUUGAAAGGAUCACACAGUCUGAACUGAAGGGAGGGAAUAUGAUAUUAACCUGAAGGCUUGUUAAACUGCACUGUGGUUAUAAAUUCUGUGGAAUUCCUUUGUAUUUACAGUAACUGCCAAAACAGAUCUAAUCCGUUAAGGCUUCAAGAUGUACAUUUCUUGGCUUGUGUGCUGGGACAUUCUCAUAUUGGAAAAUGAUGUGUAUUUUCCAUAUACACUGUGGGUUUCUUAGAAGAAUGGGUAAAAUCUACUUAUUUUGAGGAUAGCAUAAAGACUGAGAAACUAGAAAAGAGAAUGGAGCAAUCAACUUAUGUCCCGAACAUGGGGAUAUGGACUGAAAUAAAUGUGGGCACCGGGAAUUCACAACUAAGUGUAGCUGAGACUUUGCCUGAGCCCAGAAGUCCUUCUGCUUUCCCUGCAGCUAUGUAGCUAAUCUGACUAACAAAAUCAGUGUCAGCAUGAUGGUAUUCAUGUUAAUAUGUUUAUACCUACACAGCUUGCUUCAGGGCACUUUAAGUGUCUAUACUUAAAUAUAGUGAUAAUAAAUGCCACAGGGAUUUUCAAAAGCUCAAAAGGAAAUAAGGAAAAAGAAAGCUGCAUGUUAUUAACAUAGCUGCUAUUUGUGGAUUAACUGCAGAAGUGCCUAUGCACUAAAAGUCUGCAAGAAAAUAAUAAGGAUUUGGAAAUACUUUUUUUCCAGGGUGUUGAGGGGUGAGAGUCAUUUAAGCAUUGCUAUCCAGAGAGCAGGUUUUCCCUUUAACAAAAAUGGACACAGAAAUGCUGUCUUUCACUUAAAAAAGAAAAUAAAUCGUGAUUCC
ensembl:lncRNA